AGGGUUCUGAUCCUGUCCCCUCGUGCCUGUCCGUAGAUCAAAGGGAGAGACGACUCCACUCGCUCGGGAUACGUCGAUGUCGCGUAAAGUGUGUGCGCUUGUAAAUUAAUUGGCCACCUGUGGAUGUAGGUGCCGCGGAUGUAGGUAUCCGCCGUUUUCAUUAUCCAUCGUCCAAAUCGGAUAUUAAUCAGAUUGGUUAGCGAGCGUGAGCGAACGACAGAAAAGCGCGCACGAAAAUGGCGAACUGCGACGACGAGCCGAUCCUGACGCAAUUUUCGUGCCUUCCAGUCGCUCGAUGAAAUAAACGCUUGGGCCGAAGCGGAAGAAGGGAUCAUCGGCAAUCGCGCUAGCGCACUCGGCACAGGGUGUCGUUUCAGAAAACCGGAAGGUGAUUCGGGAGACUUGCAGCGGACGGAACCACGAGAUUCAUGAAGGAAAAUUUCGUCCAUAGGUACUGAUAUUCGGGAAAGUAGGAUAGUCGCGAGUUUCAUCGAGCAUCCCUAUAAAAGGCCAUUUCGAUUUGUCAUGGAUGUGUCGGUGGCUUCCGAAAUGCCGAUUGCACGGAGCGGGCUUCAAAACACACCUACAUUAAUGCUUCGCAAUAACAGAGAUAAGCCGCCAGUGGUACGGCGGCCAUUAAUUUUUUGAAAACGCAAGCGAAAAGUUCGGAUUCUCACCGUGGCAGCCGUCAGUCGCGCGCAAGAUGUUUCCAAAAUAGCAAAAAA